rnacentral:rRNA from 1 species
CCUACGGGAGGCAGCAGUGGGGAAUAUUGCACAAUGGGGGAAACCCUGAUGCAGCGACGCCGCGUGAGUGAAGAAGUAUUUCGGUAUGUAAAGCUCUGUCAGCAGGGAAGACAAUGACGGUACCUGACCAAGAAGCCCCGGCUAACUACGGACCAGCAGCCGCGGUAAUACGUAGGGGGCACGCGUUAUCCGGAUUUACGGGGGGUAAAGGGAGCGUAGACGGCAGGGCAAGUCUGGAGUGAAAGGCGGGGGCUCAACCACCGGACUGCUCUGGAAACUGCCAGGCUGGAGUGCAGGAGAGGUAAGUGGAAUUCCUAGUGUAGCGGUGAAAUGCGUAGAUAUUAGGAGGAACACCAGUGGCGAAGGCGGCUUACUGGACUGUAACUGACGUUGAGGCUCGAAAGCGUGGGGAGCAAACAGGAUUAGAUACCCCAGUAGUC